GGAGGGGACAGCUCAGUGGCAGAGUGCAUGCUUAGUAUGCAUGAGGUCCUGGGUUCAAUCCCCCAUACCUCCA
rnacentral:tRNA from 1 species